rnacentral:lncRNA from 1 species
CCGAAAGACUGAGAAACGAUAACCACUAUAACCUUAAUCAGACAGGACUACAGGGGAUUUGGGUGCCUUAGUGGACAUAGAAUAUCAACCAGCUGAAGUUCCAGUUAGAGGAAGGACCAUGUGCUGUGGAGAUCUGGGAAAGAAUUUGCAAGGAGAGAGGAAGAUGUCUGUAGAGAUGAGGGCCCCUGGGGACCCAAGAAGUGGAAAAGUUUCUGGAUAUGGCCAACUUUGAGGGAGCCUAUGCAAAUUCUGGGAUGGAGCAUGAGAUCCAAGGAUUGAAGAGCCAAGUCUUUGGAAGGAUUCUCAAAAAUCAAGCCCCACCCUGGCAUCUGACAAAUGGAAGAACUGAG